ensembl:processed_transcript Rian RNA imprinted and accumulated in nucleus
AAGCAUUCUCUAAUUAUUUAAAUAACACCAAGUAGUACUACUAACAGUAUGAAUAUCAAAGUUUAGAAAUUCAUUAGUAAUAAAUGGCCAGAGUUAGAAACCCUUAGCUGAGAAUUUUGUGUGCUGUUUUAAAUGGCGGACAAAAUUCUCGUUUGGUUAAGAACCUGGUCUCCUGUUUAUUUUCUAGAGAAGAAUGUAUCACAGCUUCAUGUAACUCGAGGGGUAAAAUAAAAAAAUGAACUACUACAAGGAUCAUAAUUGCAUAGAACAUAAUUAUGUUUAUAAUCGUUUCUCCUUUUCAUCUCUGUAUCUUUUCAAGCUGCAUUACCUAUCCAUUUCGAUCAUGGAGUCUAUGGCUAGCCUAUGGUCUUGGGUGCACAGUAGGCUCUCUAAGUAUAGUUCAUGUUCUCGGGUUCUUACAGAUUCUGCCAUACUUAAGAAUUACACCCAUAAUUAAUGACAGAUACAGUUUGUUCAGGGCAUGCUUCAUUAAUAACUUUAAGAUGAAAAUUGAUCUGAUGACACACUGAAUCACCAAUGUCCCCUUAGACAGCUCUAAAACAUACUUAGUAAUAUAAUCCAUUAGCUUUUAUAUGUAUGAUAUAAUCUGUUAUUAAUAUCGUACAAUAUCUGUGCAUGGACAGCAGUAAUGGCACUAUCAUAAAUAUAGAAAAAGCAUAUUAUUAUUAUUAUUAUUAUUAUUAUUAUUAUUAUUUCAAUUAAUGAAGACAGAGUGCAGUCCAUUGAGGACCUUUUCUUGUGAGACAAGUAGAUAGUUAAUUCAAUCCACUACACCAUGACUCCAGAAAAGGCAGGCCUUUUGCAAUGGUGACUGCAUCUAUUUACUUAGACAACCUUCCAGUUGUAGGAACAAACCAUCCCAUAUGCAACCAGACAGCUCCAUUCUGUUUUCACCGGCCCUGUGAGAUCUACACACUCAGUUCUGGGUGAGAAGACACAGGUGGGUCCUUGGGACUUGGUGGUCAGUCAGCUGAGCUUAAGAGACAAGCUGCAGGCCAAUGAAAGAUCACAUCUCCUGAGAAACACAUGAAGUUGACAUCUGACCCCCCCCCCCACACACACACAUGCAGACAUUUUCAUACUUAUGGAAAAUUUGCAAAGAUUUUAUUGUGAAGUAAUGCAACAUUCAUGACAUAAAUAAUUUUUAAGUGACAGUUGAUUUAUCUUCCACUGUCAUGCUAAGACUUUAGAGUUCUGUCCAAUAUACAAGCUCAUGCUAAAGUCUCAGUGGAUUUAGUAAGACUUAUAUGACUAUAUAGAAAGUGCAUUCAUUCUCAUAACCUGUGUUUUCCCCCCCAGAAUGGACUCACAAUUGCUGAUGUAUAGGUUCUAAUGUUUUCUAUUGUGGACACGGGACACCCAGACUGAGGUUCGUGGAUUUUUGAAAUUUCUAAUAAUAAGAUAAAUUUGUGACUUAAUUUUGAGUGGAUGAACUUGAUUUGUUGUGGUUAUAUUGUUCAGUUAGUAUGUAAGUAAAUAU